rnacentral:rRNA from 1 species
AUACGUAGGGAGCAAGCGUUGUCCGGAUUUACUGGGUGUAAAGGGUGCGUAGGCGGCUUUUUAAGUCAGAUGUGAAAUCUAUGGGCUCCACCCAUAAACUGCAUUUGAAACUAGAGGGCUUGAGUGAAGUAGAGGCAGGUGGAAUUUCCUGUGUAGCGGUGAAAUGCGUAGAGAUAGGGAGGAACACCAGUGGCGAAGGCGGCCUGCUGGGCUUUAACUGACGCUGAGGCACGAAAGCGUGGGUAGCAAACAGGAUUAGAUACCCUGGUAGUCCACGCUGUAAACGAUGAUUACUAGGUGUGGGGGGACUGACCCCUUCCGUGCCGGAGUUAACACAAUAAGUAAUCCACCUGGGGAGUACGGCCGCAAGGUUGAAACUCAAAUGAAUUGACGGGG